CUCAGGUGUAUCUCAGGUGUUACCUGGUGCUCAGGUGAGCGCAGGUGCAGGCAGAGGCUGGGCUGGGUUAGUGGGAUGGGCUCAGGUGUGUCAGGGAUGGGUUCAGGUGUAUCUCAGGUGUAUCUCAGGUGUGCCCAGGUGCCCCCAGGUGUAGCUCACCUGGUGCUCAGGUGAGCGCGGGUGCAGGCAGAGGC